rnacentral:lncRNA from 1 species
AUGAUGUCUAAGAAUGUGUCCCUGAGAACUCCUGUCUUCAGUCAUCCAUCAGCAAGGGUGACAGAUGCACCAAUCCCGCUGUUUGAAAAGGCUCACAGCCACAGCCUGUGUAGCUUCUUUGCCUAUAGGAGAUCUACAGUGAUAACUGGAAAUUCUGACCCACUAAAAAGACUGUUGUCUUGGGAAGAAGUAUAUCUGUGGAAAUAUUUGCCAAAACGUGCCGCAGGUGAUAAGUUAACGUAAGUUCAAACGGAGGUUGAAAUCUGUCAGAGGUUUCUAAGCACACAGAAAUGACAUCUGGUUCAGGAAAGAAAGUGCUGAAGCCAAGAACUUUUUGGCAGCUGUCAGGGUUUAAAAAAAUAGGUCUACCCUAUGCCUCUGAGCAUUCAAUGUCCUUUCACCCCUUUGUGGAUUCUGCACCACAAGGGGCUGCCAGGAGCAGAACCAUCUGUUCACCAUCCUUUCUAUCUAUGAGAAUUCCAGGUCUGAACCCUUUACUCAUAAACAUCUCUACAAGACAUUAGGCAGAGUGCCGCAUCCCCCUUUACUGCCUAGUGCAUACAUAAAACAAUAAUUUAUUCCUGUUGCAACUCUCUCUUAGUACAAACAGUAAAUAUUUGUGCUGUGAUGUAAAAGUUAUCGGUUCCCCUCUGUCCCUUUAUCAGGGUCAACAAUAAUGCUCUUGUCUAUAGGAAACAGAACAGUUUCCAUUUUAUGUAAGCUAUUAGGGAUCUUGAGAAAGAGCAGUGACAUUUCAGUCAUUAAAUGUUAUUAACAUGGUGCAAUUAAUUGUAUUUUAAUUAAUCCUGGCCACAAAGUGAUUAAAGUAUUGGUCUGCACAUCCCGAGAUAUAUAAUGUUGUGUAUGUUGCAGCCCCAUUGAAGACCUAUGCGUGUUGGAG